rnacentral:rRNA from 1 species
UGGGGGAUUUUGCACAAUGGGCGCAAGCCUGAUGCAGCGACGCCGCGUGAGGGAUGAAGGCCUUCGGGUUGUAAACCUCUUUCGCUGGGUUGAAAGGCCAUGCUUUGGGUGUGGUUGAUUUGAACUGGUAAAGAAGUACCGGCUAACUACGUGCCAGCAGCCGCGGUCAUACGUAGGGUACUAGCGUUGUCCGGAUUUAUUGGGCGUAAAGGGCUUGUAGGUGGUUUGUCGCGUCUGUCGUGAAAUCCUGUGGCUUAACCAUGGGCUUGCGGUGGGUACGGGCAGGCUUGAGUGCGGUAGGGGAGACUGGAAUUCCUGGUGUAGCGGUGGAAUGCGCAGAUAUCAGGAGGAACACCGGUGGCGAAGGCGGGUCUCUGGGCCGUUACUGACACUGAGGAGCGAAAGCGUGGGGAGCGAACAGG